UCAAGUGCCGUGUAGCCCCUUGGCCGAGACCCGGUUUCUUGCGUUGCGUACCUGCACGAUGGCAUCCGCUUUUGUCCCAGCGACCCUCGUUCGUUUAGCGCUCCCCGUUCUGGUGGGGGGUCAAGGCAAAACUUGUAGCCUGGCCCGUUGCCCACUCCCCGCCCGGUUGUCGGGGGAAGGGGGGCAGUGCUUAACUUCUGGAACGGGAAAAGCACCAUGAAAGGGCAUCCUUGCCCAACCUUGCCUGAAUUAGAUGGCCCCCAACACCCCCGCACCCCUGUCGCUCCCGCCUCGCCUCGCCCGUGCGGGCAGAGGAGGUCGCUGAGGAAUGCUACCUGGUUGAUCCUGCCAGUA
rnacentral:misc_RNA from 1 species